rnacentral:lncRNA from 1 species
UAAAUGACUUCCACGUAUCCUUUUUAAUAUACGUUUUCUUCAGAGAUGGUGUUGAAGCUGUUAAGCACAAUCCUAACUAAGGCUGAAAGCUUUUUUUAAAUGUGUGUCCCUCAGAACGCAUUUUUUCUGACACGCAGUUCCAGGAUUACUCCCAGUCUGUACUUCUGUCAGUGACACUACAUGUUUGUUGACAGGACACAGGUUUUAUUUUUAUCAGGUUAACAUGUCCAUAAUCAGGCUCUGAACUUUGCUCUGGUGUGUUUUGUGAAAUGCUCUAGAAAAUGCCUUUAUUCGUAGUCCCUUGCAGGUUUGUAUUCACUUUACAAAUUACAUAUCUGUAAGUGGGAAAAAACUGUACUCUCAAGGGCACAUUUGUUAAGCCCUUUUUAGGAAUGACAUUGUAUAUUUUACUGUCAGUUUUGGUAAACACUGGCCUUCUCUAAAUCAAAAUGAGAAAUAUUUUACAGACUGAGCCCAAUACCCUUCACCUGAGAGCACUGACACCAGUUUUGAUAGUUCAUGGGUUGUAUAAAUACUGGUUUUGAUCCUGUUGUAAGCAAUACCUCAUUGUGCCAAUUUGUUUUUUGCAGGUAUCAAUGGACAGCCUGGGCAGCCACAGUAUUAGUUGCUGUGGCGCCCGCUUCCUGUCUCUAACACCCGUAAUUAGAGACAAGCCCAGGAGGAGAAACAAGACUGAUUCCUUGAAGAGCUCAUCUGGAGGAUCAGAAAGGACAGAGUGGAUGGCUUUGGUGCAAGCUCUGAGAUAUGAACGAGAUCAACUGAACAAGCCAAGUGUGAAGAUUUUGUGCGUCCGAGCCAUACUGAACGGAUGUGUACUCAGCGGCGCAGAGCUGAUGAAAUGUCCUCUGGCUGUACUGCAAACGGCUGGUGACACUCCAACUUUUCCAGGAAGGCCUGUAAAA